UACAGAGGGUGCAAGCGUUAAUCGGAAUUACUGGGCGUAAAGGGCGCGUAGGUGGUUUAUUAAGUGAGAUGUGAAAUCCCCGGGCUUAACCUGGGAACUGCAUCUUAUACUGGUGAACUGGAGUGCAAUAGAGGGUAGUGGAAUUUCCGGUGUAGCGGUGAAAUGCGUAGAUAUCGGAAGGAACACCAGUGGCGAAGGCGGCUACCUGGAUUGACACUGACACUGAGGCGCGAGAGCGUGGGGAGCAAACAGG
rnacentral:rRNA from 1 species